rnacentral:rRNA from 1 species
UUGGAGGGCAAGUCUGGUGCCAGCAGCCGCGGUAAUUCCAGCUCCAAUAGCGUAUAUUAAAGUUGUUGCAGUUAAAAAGCUCGUAGUUGAAUUUCGGGAUCAAUUUAUUGGUCGUGCUAUUGUACGUACUGGUAUUAUUGAUUCCUAUCUUCUGACGAACCAUGAUGUCAUUAAUUUGGUGUCAUGGGGAAUCAGGACUGUUACUUUGAAAAAAUUAGAGUGUUUAAAGCAGGCUCACGCUUGAAUACAUUAGCAUGGAAUAACGAAAUAGGACGUUUGAUUCUAUUUUGUUGGUUUCUAGGAUCGACGUAAUGAUUAAUAGGGAUAGUUGGGGGCAUUAGUAUUCAAUUGUCAGAGGUGAAAUUCUUGGAUUUAUUGAAGACUAACUACUGCGAAAGCAUUUGCCAAGGAUGUUUUCAUUAAUCAAGAACGAAAGUUAGGGGAUCGAAGACGAUCAGAUACCGUCGUAGUCUUAACCAUAAACUAUGCCGACUAGGGAUCGGAUGAUGUUAAUUUUUUAAUGACUCAUUCGGCGCCUUACGGGAAAC